AGUGAACGCUGGCGGUAGGCCUAACACAUGCAAGUCGAACGGCAGCACAGGAGAGCUUGCUCUCUGGGUGGCGAGUGGCGGACGGGUGAGGAAUACAUCGGAAUCUACUCUGUCGUGGGGGAUAACGUAGGGAAACUUACGCUAAUACCGCAUACGACCUACGGGUGAAAGCAGGGGACCUUCGGGCCUUGCGCGAUUGAAUGAGCCGAUGUCGGAUUAGCUAGUUGGCGGGGUAAAGGCCCACCAAGGCGACGAUCCGUAGCUGGUCUGAUAGGAUGAUCAGCCACACUGGAACUGAGACACGGUCAAGACUACUACGGGAGGCAGCAGUGGGGAAUAUUGGACAAUGGGCGCAAGCCUGAUCCAGCCAUACCGCGUGGGUGAAGAAGGCCUUCGGGUUGUAAAGCCCUUUUGUUGGGAAAGAAAUCCAGCUGGCUAAUACCCGGUUGGGAUGACGGUACCCAAAGAAUAAGCACCGGCUAACUUCGUGCCAGCAGCCGCGGUAA
rnacentral:rRNA from 1 species